AGUGAACGCUGGCGGUAGGCCUAACACAUGCAAGUCGAACGGCAGCACAGUAAGAGCUUGCUCGUACGGGUGGCGAGGGGCGGACGGGUGAGGAAUACGUCGGAAUCUACUUUUGCGUGGGGGAUAACGGAGGGAAACUUACGCUAAUACCGCAUACGACCUACGGGUGAAAGCAGGGGAUCUUCGGACCUUGCGCGAGUGAAUGAGCCGAUGUCGGAUUAGCUAGUUGGCGGGGUAAAGGCCCACCAAGGCGACGAUCCGUAGCUGGUCUGAGAGGAUGAUCAGCCACACUGGAACUGAGACACGGUCCAGACUCCUACGGGAGGCAGCAGUGGGGAAUAUUGGACAAUGGGCGCAAGCCUGAUCCAGCCAUACCGCGUGGGUGAAGAAGGCCUUCGGGUUGUAAAGCCCUUUUGUUGGGAAAGAAAAGCAGCAGGUUAAUACCCCGCUGUUAUGACGGUACCCAAAGAAUAAGCACCGGCUAACUUCGUG
rnacentral:rRNA from 1 species